CACCGGCUAACUCCGUGCCAGCAGCCGCGGUAAUACGGAGGGUGCGAGCGUUAAUCGGAAUUACUGGGCGUAAAGCGCAUGCAGGUGGUUUGUUAAGUCAGAUGUGAAAGACCCCGGGGCGUCAACCUCGGAAUUGCAUUUGAAACUGGCAGACUAGAGUACUGUAGAGGGGGGUAGGAAGUUUCAGGUGUAGCGGUGAAAUGCGUAGAGAUCUGAAGGAAUACCGGUGGCGAAGGCGGCCCCCUCGGACAGAUACUGACACUCAGAUGCGAAAGCGUGGGGAGCAAACAGGAUUAGAUACCCCUGGUAG
rnacentral:rRNA from 1 species